CUCGGAGUUUGAUCCUGGCUCAGAUUGAACGCUGGCGGAAUGCUUUACACAUGCAAGUCGAACGGUAGAGGGGGCAACCCCUUGAGAGUGGCGAACGGGUGAGUAAUAUAUCGGAACGUGCCCAGUCGUGGGGGAGUAACGUAGCGAAAGUUAACGCUAAUACCGCAUACGAUCUAAGGAUGAAAGCGGGGGACGUCGCAAGAGCCUCGCGCGAUUGGAGCGGCCGAUGUCAGAUUAGGUAGUUGGUGGGUAAAGGCUCACCAAGCCAACGAUCUGUAGCUGGUCUGAGAGGACGACCAGCCACACUGGAACUGAGACACGGUCCAGACUCCUACGGGAGGCAGCAGUGGGGAAUUUUGG
rnacentral:rRNA from 1 species